CCAUACCACCUUGAAUGCGCCUGACCUUGUCUGUUCUCAGAAGCUAACCAGGGUUGGGCCUAGUUAGUACUUGGAUGGGAGA
rnacentral:rRNA from 1 species